AGCGUACACGGUGGAUGCCCUGGCAGUCAGAGGCGAUGAAGGACGUGCUAAUCUGCGAUAAGCGUCGGUAAGGUGAUAUGAACCGUUAUAACCGGCGAUUUCCGAAUGGGGAAACCCAGUGUGUUUCGACACACUAUCAUUAACUGAAUCCAUAGGUUAAUGAGGCGAACCGGGGGAACUGAAACAUCUAAGUACCCCGAGGAAAAGAAAUCAACCGAGAUUCCCCCAGUAGCGGCGAGCGAACGGGGAGGAGCCCAGAGCCUGAAUCAGUGUGUGUGUUAGUGGAAGCGUCUGGAAAGGCGCGCGAUACAGGGUGACAGCCCCGUACACAAAAAUGCACAUGCUGUGAGCUCGAUGAGUAGGGCGGGACACGUGGUAUCCUGUCUGAAUAUGGGGGGACCAUCCUCCAAGGCUAAAUACUCCUGACUGACCGAUAGUGAACCAGUACCGUGAGGGAAAGGCGAAAAGAACCCCGGCGAGGGGAGUGAAAAAGAACCUGAAACCGUGUACGUACAAGCAGUAGGAGCACAGAGCAAUCUGUGUGACUGCGUACCUUUUGUAUAAUGGGUCAGCGACUUAUAUUCUGUAGCAAGGUUAACCGAAUAGGGGAGCCGAAGGGAAACCGAGUCUUAACUGGGCGUUAAGUUGCAGGGUAUAGACCCGAAACCCGGUGAUCUAGCCAUGGGCAGGUUGAAGGUUGGGUAACACUAACUGGAGGACCGAACCGACUAAUGUUGAAAAAUUAGCGGAUGACUUGUGGCUGGGGGUGAAAGGCCAAUCAAACCGGGAGAUAGCUGGUUCUCCCCGAAAGCUAUUUAGGUAGCGCCUCGUGAAUUCAUCUCCGGGGGUAGAGCACUGUUUCGGCAAGGGGGUCAUCCCGACUUACCAACCCGAUGCAAACUGCGAAUACCGGAGAAUGUUAUCACGGGAGACACACGGCGGGUGCUAACGUCCGUCGUGAAGAGGGAAACAACCCAGACCGCCAGCUAAGGUCCCAAAGUCAUGGUUAAGUGGGAAACGAUGUGGGAAGGCCCAGACAGCCAGGAUGUUGGCUUAGAAGCAGCCAUCAUUUAAAGAAAGCGUAAUAGCUCACUGGUCGAGUCGGCCUGCGCGGAAGAUGUAACGGGGCUAAACCAUGCACCGAAGCUGCGGCAGCGACACUGUGUGUUGUUGGGUAGGGGAGCGUUCUGUAAGCCUGUGAAGGUGUGCUGUGAGGCAUGCUGGAGGUAUCAGAAGUGCGAAUGCUGACAUAAGUAACGAUAAAGCGGGUGAAAAGCCCGCUCGCCGGAAGACCAAGGGUUCCUGUCCAACGUUAAUCGGGGCAGGGUGAGUCGACCCCUAAGGCGAGGCCGAAAGGCGUAGUCGAUGGGAAACAGGUUAAUAUUCCUGUACUUGGUGUUACUGCGAAGGGGGGACGGAGAAGGCUAUGUUGGCCGGGCGACGGUUGUCCCGGUUUAAGCGUGUAGGCUGGUUUUCCAGGCAAAUCCGGAAAAUCAAGGCUGAGGCGUGAUGACGAGGCACUACGGUGCUGAAGCAACAAAUGCCCUGCUUCCAGGAAAAGCCUCUAAGCAUCAGGUAACAUCAAAUCGUACCCCAAACCGACACAGGUGGUCAGGUAGAGAAUACCAAGGCGCUUGAGAGAACUCGGGUGAAGGAACUAGGCAAAAUGGUGCCGUAACUUCGGGAGAAGGCACGCUGAUAUGUAGGUGAAGUCCCUCGCGGAUGGAGCUGAAAUCAGUCGAAGAUACCAGCUGGCUGCAACUGUUUAUUAAAAACACAGCACUGUGCAAACACGAAAGUGGACGUAUACGGUGUGACGCCUGCCCGGUGCCGGAAGGUUAAUUGAUGGGGUCAGCGCAAGCGAAGCUCUUGAUCGAAGCCCCGGUAAACGGCGGCCGUAACUAUAACGGUCCUAAGGUAGCGAAAUUCCUUGUCGGGUAAGUUCCGACCUGCACGAAUGGCGUAAUGAUGGCCAGGCUGUCUCCACCCGAGACUCAGUGAAAUUGAACUCGCUGUGAAGAUGCAGUGUACCCGCGGCAAGACGGAAAGACCCCGUGAACCUUUACUAUAGCUUGACACUGAACAUUGAGCCUUGAUGUGUAGGAUAGGUGGGAGGCUUUGAAGUGUGGACGCCAGUCUGCAUGGAGCCGACCUUGAAAUACCACCCUUUAAUGUUUGAUGUUCUAACGUGGACCCGUGAUCCGGGUUGCGGACAGUGUCUGGUGGGUAGUUUGACUGGGGCGGUCUCCUCCUAAAGAGUAACGGAGGAGCACGAAGGUUGGCUAAUCCUGGUCGGACAUCAGGAGGUUAGUGCAAUGGCAUAAGCCAGCUUGACUGCGAGCGUGACGGCGCGAGCAGGUGCGAAAGCAGGUCAUAGUGAUCCGGUGGUUCUGAAUGGAAGGGCCAUCGCUCAACGGAUAAAAGGUACUCCGGGGAUAACAGGCUGAUACCGCCCAAGAGUUCAUAUCGACGGCGGUGUUUGGCACCUCGAUGUCGGCUCAUCACAUCCUGGGGCUGAAGUAGGUCCCAAGGGUAUGGCUGUUCGCCAUUUAAAGUGGUACGCGAGCUGGGUUUAGAACGUCGUGAGACAGUUCGGUCCCUAUCUGCCGUGGGCGCUGGAGAACUGAGGGGGGCUGCUCCUAGUACGAGAGGACCGGAGUGGACGCAUCACUGGUGUUCGGGUUGUCAUGCCAAUGGCACUGCCCGGUAGCUAAAUGCGGAAGAGAUAAGUGCUGAAAGCAUCUAAGCACGAAACUUGCCCCGAGAUGAGUUCU
rnacentral:rRNA from 1 species